rnacentral:rRNA from 1 species
UACGGAGGGUGCGAGCGUUGUCCGGAAUCAUUGGGCGUAAAGCGCGCGUAGGCGGCCCGGUAAGUCCGUUGUGAAAGUCAAAGGCUCAACCUUUGAACGCCGAUGGAUACUGCCGGGCUAGAGUCCGGAAGAGGCGAGUGGAAUUCCUGGUGUAGCGGUGGAAUGCGCAGAUAUCAGGAGGAACACCGAUGGCGAAGGCAGGUCUCUGGGCUGACACUGACGCUCAUGCACGAAAGCGUGGGGAGCAAACAGG